GAAUAAAAUACUGAACUUUAAAACUUCCACAUCAUUGCAUUCUGUUUUUAUUCACAAUUUGUACAGUGUCCCAACUUUUUUGGAAUCGGGUUUUUAUUUUCCCAUGUUAUUGCUAAUAGCCUUGUGGGUAGCGUACUGACGUUUAGCACUGUUGUGCUUUAAGCAUCCCAAGAUUGAUUCCUGGCUCCUGAACCUUUUUCCUGAAUAUUCCCUAAUAAUUAUUUGUAAUGAUGCAAAAUGAUUCCACAGAUUUUAAAUUUCUAAUUAGAAAUGAGAAGCAGCCAUUUAUGCCUUUAUACACUUCAGGUUAAUUAAACUUGACAGUUGCUCAUCGUCUGAUCUCUGCUGCAGGAGGUGGGUCGUAAACACUCUUGACUUUCCUGAUCUCUGUGGAUAAAAUGACUGGUUCAGAGGAGAACAAACACAGGAAGGCAGGUGAUCAUACUCAGGAUUUCUUGAGGCAUGUUGGUCAGGAUGGCUGUGGUUGAGAAGAUAAGCGAAGCUCUUGGAUUGGAGGCUCUGUGGGGACAGAGCACUGAUGCUGUACAGCCCGUUUCAAAAAUGAGGUGGGAUUUCAGCAGCUUCAUACACUCAGUGCAUCCACGCAGAGCGGCUGAUAAUUAGAGUGUACACAGUUUGCGUUCAGCGGAUGGUCUCAAAAAUGGCGCUACAGGAAUUGAUGACACAGUAUGUGUAGACUCUUCAAGAGAAUCAUGGAAAGAAGCUAGUUACUCAUGCUCUGUGCUUCAAUUUGUUGUCAAGGUAAGUCAUCAUUUGUUUUAUUGAUUUUAGGAAGACACAGUAUGUUAACUUUUUAAUGGUAGAUUAUGGAUGCGUUGGUAAUUUAGUACAAUAGCGUCUUUACGCUGCCAAGCUUUGCCACAUCCGAAUUACAUGUAAAAAUUGACUGUGAUCAAGAAAUACUCAGCUGUGAGCGUGUCAUAGAUUGUUUUCUGUGAUUGUGUUCAAGUACCAAGGUUGUGCUCAUUCAGAUCAGAUUCAUGACUUUUAAAUUACAAUUCAUUUUCCAGAUUUCGACUGAGGUAGUAAACAGGAUGCUGAAAUGUAAUUUAGAUUUAAAUGAAAAGAAGAACAAUUACAAUGGAAUUAAAUGUAAAUAAAUGUAUAUUGUAUGUGCAGAUUAAAAAAAGUUAUAUUGUGUAUUAUUUAUAUUUUAUACAUUAUUUUCCCCCAUAAAUUACCUCUACAUUUAUUCUUAUGCACAUAGCAUAUGGGGUAUUUUGAUAAAUAUUUCAUGAUAUUAAUAAACAGUGCUUGAAUUUGUUUCAAAUUUGAAGAGUAUUGGACUGAAGUUCUAAAGGUCUUAGGUUUGAUCCUAUGUUUCAGCAGAUGCUCCAUAGUUUUGUUUUUGGUUCACAGGGCUUGUGACUAAAAAUAACUGGGAUCCAACCCCACUGUUGGCCCUGUGAGCAACAGCUGCUCCUGUCAAGGUUCCAUGGUGUAAUGGUUAGCACUCUGGACUCUGAAUCCAGCGAUCCGAGUUCAAAUCUCGGUGGGACCUGCUUUUACCCAAAAUCUCACUUAGGGAGUGUUGCUUUGUAGUUUGUCUCUAUAGGGAAUGAGCGUAAAAGGGCAGGAACUUGGAGAAUGCAGGCAUUGAUCCCGCUACCUCUAACAUGCUAAGCGAGCGCUCCAUAAUUUGAUCUAAUUCCCCUGGCCGUGGGAGAG
rnacentral:tRNA from 1 species